rnacentral:rRNA from 1 species
UACAGAGGUGGCAAGCGUUGUUCGGAAUUACUGGGUGUAAAGGGCGCGUAGGCGGCCUGUUAAGUCCCGUGUGAAAUCCCUCGGCUCAACCGAGGAACUGCACGGGAAACUGGCGGGCUUGAGGUCGGGGGAGGGAAGCGGAAUUCCGGGUGUAGCGGUGAAAUGCGUCGAUAUCCGGAGGAACACCGGUGGCGAAGGCGGCUUCCUGGACCGACACUGACGCUGAGGCGCGAAAGCUAGGGGAGCAAACGGG